rnacentral:rRNA from 1 species
UGGGGAAUAUUGGACAAUGGGCGAAAGCCUGAUCCAGCCAUGCCGCGUGUGUGAAGAAGGUCUUCGGAUUGUAAAGCACUUUAAGUUGGGAGGAAGGGCAGUUACCUAAUACGUGAUUGUUUUGACGUUACCGACAGAAUAAGCACCGGCUAACUCUGUGCCAGCAGCCGCGGUAAUACAGAGGGUGCAAGCGUUAAUCGGAAUUACUGGGCGUAAAGCGCGCGUAGGUGGUUAGUUAAGUUGGAUGUGAAAUCCCCGGGCUCAACCUGGGAACUGCAUUCAAAACUGACUGACUAGAGUAUGGUAGAGGGUGGUGGAAUUUCCUGUGUAGCGGUGAAAUGCGUAGAUAUAGGAAGGAACACCAGUGGCGAAGGCGACCACCUGGACUAAUACUGACACUGAGGUGCGAAAGCGUGGGGAGCAAACA